ACAGGGCCUCAGAAUUUCACAUCGGAUGAUCAGCCCGAUGUCGAGCCUCGUGUUGGAGUUCAGCAGCUUGAGGCACGUGACUGGGGGAUUCCAGUCCUUGAUUUUGACGAUGCGCCGGCAUUAGGUUGGGAGGAUUCUAACGUAUUGGAGAGCGGGAUAUUAUCAGUGGGGGCUCUAUUCCGGUCGAAUGAUGAUUUGG
rnacentral:lncRNA from 1 species